GACCCUGACUCACACCAGCAAGCGCCCUCACCCUCUUCUCACACAUCCCCGUCUACCUCUCUCGCACGCCGCGCGCACAAGAGCACCACCACCUUCUCGCUGUAGUCGCUCUACGCUGAUGUCGGUGCCGUACGAGGAGCAGACGUUCCCCCCGCUGAAGGGCCUGCACAUCCGUCCCAUGAACGACUCGCGCCUGUGCGAACGUAUCAAGGUGCUGGACGACUACUGCUUUCCUGUGAAGUACACAGAGAGCUACUACAACGACUACGUCCGCAACAGCUUUCACGAGUUCAACCAGCUCGCCUUCUACCACGACAUCCUUGUCGGCUCCAUCACGUGCCGCCUAGAGAAAACGGCCACGGACGGCGAGUACGUCCUCUACAUUAUGACCAUUGGAGUUCUGGAGGCGUACCGUCAUCUGCGCAUCGGCUCCCGACUGCUGCAGACGGUUUUGUCGGCCGUGCACAACGACACCCGCAACCGCAUCGUGGCGGUCACGCUGCAUGUCCAGGUCGGAUCGCCAGCACUGAAGUUCUACCGCCAGUUCAAUUUUGAGGAGGUGCAGCUGGUGGAGAACUACUACACCGACCUCGACGAGUGCAACGCCAUUCUGCUGCGCCGCGUCGUGCCGCAGCCGCACUUUGAGCAUCACAAGAAAUUCAAGUAAGCGGUAAUUAUACUGUCUGUGUGUGCGCGGCAGCCGCCGGUGGCGUUCUCGACGCGCGUGCGCUUGUGUGAUUGGGGGAUAAAGGAUGGCAGGGGAGUGGGGCCACCGCGUGUGGUCGUGUGCGUGCCGGAGCGUCUGCGAUGGUCCUCGACGCCACUGCAUCCUGCAGCUCGAUCAUGGCGAGAAGGCGCCGAUGCCGCUCUCACCCCUCCAACGCGCACUUUCCGAAGACGGCUCACCGUUACGAGCACCGGAGGUGUGUCGUGGCGAGUGCACAGCCAUACCCACGCCUCUGUGUGCUGGCACACGCACACACACGCACGCACGCACCUCCCGCCUUUUUCAUUUUGACGUACGCCAGCGGCGGUCGCUUCGAAAGAGAAGCAUAAAAG
rnacentral:misc_RNA from 1 species